rnacentral:rRNA from 1 species
GUGCCAGCAGCCGCGGUAAGACGAACUGUGCGAACGUUGUUCGGAAUCACUGGGCUUAAAGGGUGCGUAGGCGGCCCGUUAAGUCGGGGGUGAAAUACUUCGGCUCAACCGGAGAAUUGCCUUCGAUACUGGCGGGCUGGAGGAAGGUAGGGGUCGCGGGAACUGCCAGUGGAGCGGUGAAAUGCGUUGAUAUUGGCAGGAACGCCGGUGGUGAAGACGCGCGGCUGGACCUUUUCUGACGCUGAGGCACGAAAGCCAGGGGAGCAAACGGGAUUAGAUACCCCAGUAGUCC